ACGGAAUAGAUACCCUGGUAGUCUACGCCGUAAACGAUGCGCACUAGGUUCGAGGGCUACUGACGGCACUCGAGCCGAAAAACAAAAAAGCGAUAAGUGCGCCGCCUGGGGAGUACGGCCGCAAGGCUAAAAACUCAAAGGAAUUGACGGGGGCGUCACACAAGCGGUGGAGCAUGUGGAUUAAUUCGAAGCAACGCGAAGAACCUUACCUGGGUUUGACAUGCACGGAUGGUCUCGGGGAAACCGUGAGUAAUCUGCCUUCGGUGGAAACGUAGCACAGGUGCUGCAUGGCUGUCGUCAGCUCGUGCUGUGAAGUGUCGGG
rnacentral:rRNA from 1 species